GCCGCAGACAUGUCCCUUUGCACCUUGAAACCUGGUUUCCUCCUGCUGACUUCCUGACAGCCGCCCAGCUGGCCUGAGCCAAGCACAGGGCCGCAGAGGGGCUUGUUUCCAGAAUCCUUUGGGUGGUUCCUGAACCCUCCUGCCCAGCUGUCCCCCAACACAAACGCACAGAGACACUGGGACGCACGCACGCACGCACAGGACCCGCAGGCGGAGGCGGGUGGCCGGAGGGAUUAGAGGGAUAAAGUCACUGUCAUUCGGGAGAGAUAAGAAUCUGGGCAGGACGUGUCUGUACUGGGGUCUUCUGAAAGUAGGCUCAGCAUCUGCGGCUCCUCACAUCGGCCCUCAGGUGAUGCGGGGUUGAUUUACCUUGGUUUGUUAGCUCUGAAAGCCCCGGGCUGUAAAAAGGUUUGGGUUAGGAAUUAGACUUUGAUUCUUUAGGGCUUUCUUAACCCUGCUCUGCAACACCUUCUGGUGUCUGGAGAAGAGGUAGAUUGCAGGACUCAUAAAAACUUUGAAGUUGCUCUUCAAGGAAACAGAUUUUUAAACUUGUGAGUCUUCAGAGAGAGAGAGAGAGAGAGAAAUAAACUCUCUUAAUUUGAAUUUGGAUUUAUUUUUCACUAUACAUAUAUACAUUUAAGAGAAUUAAUAGCGGCUGAUGUCACUCAUUAAUUUGUCCGGCAGGUAUGACGUUGUUCAAAUGUAAAACUAAGUUUAUUGCACAGUUUCAAGGACUAUUGACCGCUUUGGUGUAUGUUUUUUCACGUGCUUCUCAGGUCGCAUUAUUGCAAGUGUUUGUUGUGGGUCUUGCCUAUCUGACCAUAGACAGGUCCCAGUAUGUUCCUUUUUCAUUACUGGUGAUUCAGUUAUGCACAGCCUGUCUUCCUUCUGGGGCCUCUAGCAUUAGUCUCUGGUGAGAAGAAAAAAGUAGGUGCAUUUAGGAGCAAGGAGAAAUGGUUUAGUUCCUCCCCCCAUUAAAGUUUUCAUAUAUUGUUAAUUUCAGACCUCAAGCAUUGUUUGCCACCUGUCAGACUCAUUCAGAAGUGUAGGGAUUAACUAAUAAAAGAUUUGUAAAUGCUUCCUGAAUCUAAAAUUUCACGAAUAUGCUAAAUAGUAAUAAUCCACCCAUUGUUAAAUUUAUGUAGCUGCUUCUGCCAUGCAUACAAGAUGAUUUAGAUGCAUGUUUCCUGUCAAUUAAACAAUGAGUUUGGAGUGAAAUAAUGAGUUCAAUUCACAGCCUCUGAAACUUUGAAAUAAAAUUUCUCCCAUAAGGCAGCAUCGGCAGAGAAUCAUAAAGUAAGCAGCAUUUCAAAAAGCUAUAUAAGGAAUGGCAAUUACCUUAUGGUUGGGGGGAAAGGGACCAAUGAACUUCUGAAACCAAGAAAUAUUCAUUCUUGAUUCAUGUGUGCCUGAACCAUUAACAUCCCCUAACAUUUGGGGUAAGUAAGCCUAUGGGGAGGGCAGGCAGGUUUGUGGAACAACCUAAUAGUUGUCCAUUUUAAUCCAUGAAAUAUGCUGCUUGGUAUUUCAAGGCGGAAGUUCAUUUUGUGGUUUCGUUCAUAGACAGUGAAAAAAAG
rnacentral:lncRNA from 1 species